AAAUAUUAAGAGAAAACACACACUCUCGAAUUUAGGUCUGCCGUUAAAUUUCUCUCUCAAUAAUUGCAUUUCUCUCUCGCGCACACUCCACCUCCCAAUUGUUCAAUUACGCUCCAGCUGCGCAAUGGUGGUGUCUAGGGCUAGUUUCUCAUGGUCGCGGCGGUGAAUUUGGCUCUCGUAGCAAACGAUUUGGGCAGGAGGCUCCGGCGCCGACUCCUGCAUCCUUUGCCAGAGUGGCGGCGCCGUCGUUCGCGGUCAGCUGCGUUCUCGCCGUGACGUCGCUGGUGUUCAGAUCUGCGCUCAGGAUCUGAAGUUUUUUACUGCGUACGUAUUAUUGAGUGGUGUUUAUAGAAAAAAGGAAAGCCACUCAUUUUGUUCAGUGUCUACUGCAGUCCAAAUGGUUUAGCCUAUUCGACUAUAUCUCAAUUGAUUUAUAUGAUGUUAGCACUAGGAAUGACUAUGGCGAAUCGUUGGUGUAUUAGUAUUUGGGAAUGUGUAAAAUAGCUCGCAACGUCUUGAUCCACCAGAAGAUCUUCUUGCAGAAUGUUGAUGAACCUUGAUGGGAAAGAGAAAUGUUAAAGAUGGAUUUCAUAAUUGGCCUUUGAAAGUAGCGAAUUCCAUUCCAUUUUCCAUAAACAUCAAAAGUCUCAUGUUUUUCAUGUUUUGAGGAUAAACCAACCUGACCCCUAUCUGUCGUAGAAGCUGUUCCUAGUGGUUUAAUUAGGGAAUUUUGUGAUUGUUUGUGGAGAUCGCAGUCUUGUUAUGCUCAUCCAGAGAUAAGCUUAAGAUCGUGG
rnacentral:lncRNA from 1 species